rnacentral:rRNA from 1 species
AUGGACGGGAUCCACCCUGGAGCGCCUGCAUCGCCGCCACGCCUCGUCUUCUUCUUCCUCGGCUCCGACGCACUCCGCGACGGUUCGGAGCCAGCGAGCCUUCCCCGAGCUUCCUUUUGCACACCUACAGGCUCCCGGAGCCAGACGCCACCAUUGAUGAUGACUCCUACUACUCGGGAGGUGCCUACUACUACGUGCAGCCCGCUGACGACGACCAGGAGUAGUUUAGGAGGACCCCAGGCAGGAGGCAUGCGCCUCUUUCGAUUUGUAUCCCGGUUUGUGCUAGCCUUCUUAAGGCAAACUUGUUUAACUUAUGUCUGUACUCAGAUAUUGUUGCUUCCGCUGACUCGUCUAUGA